rnacentral:lncRNA from 1 species
CACUCAUAAUUAACAUCACACAUUCACGAAUUCGUCCUCCCUAUACUCUCCCUAAAAUUGAGUUCAUCAAGAACUCAUAAUCACUAUCAUUAACAUACACUCUAAAUAUGAAUUCGAUCAAUCUAGUGAGGAUGUCGUCUACAUCAAUCUCUGCUACAAUUACUGGUUUUUUCUGUUGUAAUAGGUAAUUACAGUAGAUUGGAGUAAGGAUUGGAUCCAGCACUAAAGGACUUCAAGAAGUGGCUUAUUUUAUUAAAUAAAUCAACUUAAGAAAUAUUGUUUUGGGUUUAUCCCGUAUUAAAAGCUACCUUUGAAAAAUAUGGAAUUUAUUCCAUCUAUUUAAAUAAAAUCCGGUGUUUCUAAACUCUGAUAUUUUUCCUAACUCACGGUCCUGAUGAAAUUUCCGCUGCAAUGUUUUUAAAAAUAAUCACCGGUACCACUGGACUGCUCGCGGCUUCCGAUUCCGGCCAGGAUGGGGGUCGGGGGUCGUGACAGUAGAUAUAUGGUUUUGCUAGAAAACAUGCUCUCAUAUUGUGUUUACGGGUAGCCGCUGGUGUAUGAGUAUGUUUCGAUACUAAAUCUGAGGAAUUAGAACAUGCAUGAUGAGGGUUUGAUGACUUGUAUACGUUCAUAUUCAUGAUGUGGUUUGAUAAUUCUGAUGGAUGAACUUAUAUUAUGAUAAAUUAAUAAUCUGAUUUUGUAUGGUCAUUGGAUGAUUAGGGUCAAUGAUUGUUUAGGACGGUUGUUUAUGUGUAUUAAGGAAACUGUUACAAUUCGGAGAUUCGUAUGAGCAUGUAUAACAACUGUUAAAUCAUAAUGAUUGAUCUGU